UACGUUUUACUAUUUGUGAACAAAUCUCGACGUUAGACCUUUAGAUCCUCGUUCUGUUUUUCCAUAAGUAAUCGCAACACUUCUAGCCCAACAGCAUUUGCUAUAUUGGCUAAUGCUUAAAAUUACUCUUGAAAAGAUAGGAUACAUAUUAUGUCUACUACUACUGGUACUGUUAAGUGGUUUAACGAAUCUAAAGGCUUCGGUUUCAUCGAGCAAGAAUCUGGUCCAGACGUUUUCGCACACUUCAGUGCAAUUCAAGGUUCAGGUUUCAAAACCUUGACUGAAGGCCAAAAAGUUGAGUUCACUGUAACUCAAGGCCAAAAAGGUCCUCAAGCUGAGAACAUUAACCCAGUUUAAUUUGUAAUAAACUGCGGUAACAUAGAAAGGGCAAGACUUCGGUUUUGCCCUUUUUU
rnacentral:sRNA from 1 species